GAUCAUGGCUCAGGAUGAACGCUGGCGGCGUGCCUAACACAUGCAAGUCGAACGAAGUCACUGUUAACGGAGAUUCGUCGAAGUUAACUUUGACUUAGUGGCGGACGGGUGAGUAACGCGUGAGGAACCUGCCUUUCAGAGGGGGACAACAGUUGGAAACGACUGCUAAUACCGCAUAACGCGUAGAGGUCGCAUGGCCUUUACGCCAAAGAUUUAUCGCUGAAAGAUGGCCUCGCGUCUGAUUAGCUAGUUGGUGAGGUAACGGCCCACCAAGGCGACGAUCAGUAGCCGGACUGAGAGGUUGACCGGCCACAUUGGGACUGAGAUACGGCCCAGACUCCUACGGGAGGCAGCAGUGGGGAAUAUUGGGCAAUGGGCGCAAGCCUGACCCAGCAACGCCGCGUGAAGGAAGAAGGCUUUCGGGUUGUAAACUUCUUUUGUCGAGGAAGAGUAGAAGACUGUACUCGGCGAAUAAGCCACGGCUAACUACGUG
rnacentral:rRNA from 1 species